rnacentral:misc_RNA from 1 species
GCAUUUCCAGCAGAAAUGUGAAACGCCUACGCGGGGAAAUCAGUCCACUGGACUGAUUUCUGAUCCCGCUUCGAUACGUAGGACGAUGCGACAAAACAACGAGUUAGGGCGGUUCCAACGAUUCUGUUAAAACAGGAACCGCUCUGGAGGCGAAGAAGCAGGAUUGAGAAUCCGCGGGG